rnacentral:rRNA from 1 species
AGCAGUCGCCGCGGUAAUACGUAGGUGGCAAGCGUUGUCCGGAAUUAUUGGGCGUAAAGGGCUCGCAGGCGGUUUCUUAAGUCUGAUGUGAAAGCCCCCGGCUCAACCGGGGAGGGUCAUUGGAAACUGGGAAACUUGAGUGCAGAAGAGGAGAGUGGAAUUCCACGUGUAGCGGUGAAAUGCGUAGAGAUGUGGAGGAACACCAGUGGCGAAGGCGACUCUCUGGUCUGUAACUGACGCUGAGGAGCGAAAGCGUGGGGAGCGAACAGGAUUAGAUACCCGAGUAGUCCCUGUCUCUUAUAC